rnacentral:rRNA from 1 species
AAUGGAGGAAACUCUGACGCAGCAAUGCCACGUGAGUGAGGAAGGUCUUCGGAUUGUAAAGCUCUGUCCUAUAGGAAGAAUGCAUUAUGGUUAAUACCCAUAGUGUUUGACGGUACUAUAGAAGAAAGCACCGGCUAACUCCGUGCCAGCAGCCGCGGUAAUACGGAGGGUGCAAGCGUUGUUCGGAUUUACUGGGCGUAAAGCGCGCGCAGGCGGACUAGCAAGUCAGAUGUGAAAUCCCGGGGCUUAACCUCGGAACUGCGUCUGAAGCUGUUAGUCUAGAGUCUCACAGGGGGUAGGGGAAUUUCACGUGUAGGGGUAAAAUCCGUAGAGAUGUGAAGGAACACCGGUGGCGAAGGCGCCUACCUGGAUGAGUACUGACGCUGAGGCGCGAAAGCGUGGGGAGCAAACAGGAUU